UGAUCUUGCAGCUCAGUUGGUUGUGAGUUGGAUUAUAUAACAAGCCAAAAGUCGUGGGUUCGAUUCCCACAGCAGUCAA